rnacentral:rRNA from 1 species
UGAGGAAUAUUGGUCAAUGGGCGAGAGCCUGAACCAGCCAAGUCGCGUGAAGGAAGACAGUCCUAAGGAUUGUAAACUUCUUUUAUACGGGAAUAACGGGCGAUACGAGUAUUGCAUUGAAUGUACCGUAAGAAUAAGCAUCGGCUAACUCCGUGCCAGCAGCCGCGGUAAUACGGAGGAUGCGAGCGUUAUCCGGAUUUAUUGGGUUUAAAGGGUGCGUAGGUUGUUCGGUAAGUCAGCGGUGAAACCUGAGAGCUCAACGUUCAGCCUGCCGUUGAAACUGCCGGGCUUGAGUUCAGUGGCGGCAGGCGGAAUUCGUGGUGUAGCGGUGAAAUGCAUAGAUAUCACGAGGAACUCCGAUUGCGAAGGCAGCUUGCCAUACUGCGACUGACACUGAAGCACGAAGGCGUGGGUAUCAAACAGG